CUGGAACCGGGAGAGGUAAGAGGUACUACAGGGGUAGGAAGUGAAAUCUUGUAAUCCCUGUGGGACCACCUGUGGCGAAGGCGUCUUACCAGAACGGGUUCGACGGUGAGGGACGAAAGCUGGGGGGCACGAACCGGAUUAGAUACCCGGGUAGUCCCAGCCGUAAACGAUGCUCGCUAGGUGUCAGGCAUGGCGCGACCGUGUCUGGUGCCGCAGGGAAGCCGUGAAGCGAGCCACCUGGGAAGUACGGCCGCAAGGCUGAAACUUAAAGGAAUUGGCGGGGGAGCACAACAACGGGUGGAGCCCUGCGGUUUAAUUGGACUCAACGCCGGACAACUCACCGGGGGCGACAGCAAUAUGUAGGCCAAGCUGAAGACUUUGCCUGAAUCGCUGAGUAGAGGUGCAUGG
rnacentral:rRNA from 1 species